rnacentral:rRNA from 1 species
GAUUAGAUACCCUGGUAGUCCACGCUGUAAACGAUGUCGAUUUGGAGGUUGUGCCCUUGAGGCGUGGCUUCCGGAGCUAACGCGUUAAAUCGACCGCCUGGGGAGUACGGCCGCAAGGUUAAAACUCAAAUGAAUUGACGGGGGCCCGCACAAGCGGUGGAGCAUGUGGUUUAAUUCGAUGCAACGCGAAGAACCUUACCUACUCUUGACAUCCAGAGAACUUUCCAGAGAUGGAUUGGUGCCUUCGGGAACUCUGAGACAGGUGCUGCAUGGCUGUCGUCAGCUCGUGUUGUGAAAUGUUGGGUUAAGUCCCGCAACGAGCGCAACCCUUAUCCUUUGUUGCCAGCGGUUCGGCCGGGAACUCAAAGGAGACUGCCAGUGAUAAACUGGAGGAAGGUGGGGAUGACGUCAAGUCAUCAUGGCCCUUACGAGUAGGGCUACACACGUGCUACAAUGGCAUAUACAAAGAGAAGCGACCUCGCGAGAGCAAACGGACCUCAUAAAGUAUGUCGUAGUCCGGAUUGGAGUCUGCAACUCGACUCCAUGAAGUCGGAAUCGCUAGUAAUCGUAGAUCAGAAUGCUACGGUGAAUACGUUCCCGGGCCUUGUACACACCGCCCGUCACACCAUGGGAGUGGGUUGCAAAAGAAGUAGGUAGCUUAACCUUCGGGAGGGCGCUUACCACUUUGUGAUUCAUGACUGGGGUGAAGUCGUAACAAGG